AAAGGGAGCGUAGGCCGGAGAUUAAGCGUGUUGUGAAAUGUAGGCGCUCAACGUCUGCACUGCAGCGCGAACUGGUUUCCUUGAGUACGCACAAAGUGGGCGGAAUUCGUGGUGUAGCGGUGAAAUGCUUAGAUAUCACGAAGAACUCCGAUUGCGAAGGCAGCUCACUGGAGCGCAACUGACGCUGAAGCUCGAAAGUGCGGGUAUCGAACAGGAUUAGAUACCCUGGUAGUCCGCACGGUAAACGAUGGAUGCCCGCUGUUGGUCUGAACAGGUCAGCGGCCAAGCGAAAGCAUUAAGCAUCCCACCUGGGGAGUACGCCGGCAACGGUGAAACUCAAAGGAAUUGACGGGGGCCCGCACAAGCGGAGGAACAUGUGGUUUAAUUCGAUGAUACGCGAGGAACCUUACCCGGGCUUGAAUUGCAGAGGAAGGAUUUGGAGACAAUGACGCCCUUCGGGGCCUCUGUGAAGGUGCUGCAUGGUUGUCGUCAGCUCGUGCCGUGAGGUGUCGGCUUAAGUGCCAUAACGAGCGCAACCCCUCUCCUUAGUUGCCAUCAGGUGAAGCUGGGCACUCUGGGGACACUGCCACCGUAAGGUGUGAGGAAGGUGGGGAUGACGUCAAAUCAGCACGGCCCUUACGUCCGGGGCUACACACGUGUUACAAUGGCAGGUACAGAGAGACGGUCCCUUGCAAAAUGGAUCAAAUCCUUAAAGCCUGUCUCAGUUCGGACUGGGGUCUGCAACCCGACCCCACGAAGCUGGAUUCGCUAGUAAUCG
rnacentral:rRNA from 1 species